rnacentral:tRNA from 1 species
AGCCCUAUAGUGUAGUGGUCAAUCACAAUGGGUUCUGGGCCCAUUAACCCUGGUUCGAAUCCAGGUAGGGCUA